rnacentral:rRNA from 1 species
GAUGAACGCUGGCGGCGUGCUUAACACAUGCAAGUCGAACGGAAAGGCCCAAGCUUGCUUGGGUACUCGAGUGGCGAACGGGUGAGUAACACGUGGGUGAUCUGCCCUGCACUUCGGGAUAAGCCUGGGAAACUGGGUCUAAUACCGGAUAGGACCCCUUCUUGGAUGUUGUGGAGGAGAGUUUUUGCGGUGUGGGGUGAGCUCGCGGCCUAUCCGCUUGUUGGGGGGGUAAUGGCCUACCAAUGCGUCGACGGGUAGCCGGCCUGUGAGAGUGUACGGCGACAUUGAGACUGAGAGACGGCCCAGACUCCGACGGGUGGAAGCAGGGGGGAAGCUUGAACAAGGGGCGCAAGGCGGAUGCAGCGACGCCGCGGGUGGGAUGACGGUCUUGGGGUUGUAGAAACCUUUCGCGAGGGACGAAGCGUGUUGUGACGGUACCUGGAGAAGAAGCACCGGCUAACUACGUG